AAUCAACGCUGGCGGCGUGCCUCAGACAUGCAAGUCGAACGCGAAAUUUCCCUUCGGGGAGAAAGUAGAGUGGCGCACGGGUGAGUAACACGUAGGUAAUUUGCCUUUGGGUGGGGAAUAACUCAGGGAAACUUGAGCUAAUACCGCAUAAUGCAGCGGCUCGACAUCGAGACAGUUGUUAAAGCGGGGGAUCGCAAGACCUCGCGCCUAAAGNGAAGCCUGCGGCAGAUUAGCUAGUUGGUAAGGUAAUGGCUCACCAAGGCGACGAUCGGUAGCUGGUCUGAGAGGAUGAUCAGCCACACUGGGACUGAGACACGGCCCA
rnacentral:rRNA from 1 species